rnacentral:lncRNA from 1 species
UCCAAAACUGGCCCAGCACCCAUUAAAUCCAAUACCCUAAAAAAUCCCUUCUUCCUCACCUUUAAGACACACCAAAACAAACCCUAACCAGGAGAACCUUCAGCCGUUGAAUACAAUCACCCCCCAAGCCGUUUCUCUGUCUUUUUCAACACUCAUCUCCACAACCAGAAGACCACUGCUGCCCACCCCAGGCAACGCCAGCCAUCGCUUCUCUCAUCCAGACCUGAAGCCCAGUCGUCACCCCUACCAAAACUUGCAACCCCUCAUCUCCUUCACCAAGCAAACAACCACCAAAGGUUUUGGAAACGACCCCCUAACACUAUAGAACGCCGCUCCCUCACCGCGUCAAACACCACCUGGAGCCGCAACAAGCCAUCCCCAUCCCAUCUCCACAUCCGCCACCCAGCGAGCCGCAUCACUCCCUCUUCAGUCCAUAUCGAGCACAUCACCCUCACCCAUCUUCCUCACUGCCACAAACGAGAAACACACGCACACGUACAAGAACAAAAAUAGGCAGAAAUAAAAAAGAAUGUGGAGAUAAAUUUUCGACAAAUUUUGAUAGAAAAUAAAAGGGGUUUCUUUGCCAACUGAUUUGAUUUUUGCUCCUUAAAAUAUUAGAAAAUUGAAUAAAAAAUAGUCUCAACAUCUUCUUUCUGAUUUCUAUUUCCAUUUUAUUAUGGAACUUGUUUGAGUUUUUAUUGGUUCAAGUUCGACUAAGAACCACCAUCCGUUCGAGGUCUCGUUUGGGGUUGCUUGAGUCCAUCGCAGGUUCUAUUCGAGAGCUGGUACAUUGCUUAUCGAGAUCCAAUCCAUUUGAUCCAAGUUUACAUUGCAAACUGAGGUUAAAAUUCUUCCUGGUCUUUGUUCCUUUAAGGCUUAUACAUGAUGCUUUGUAUGAUGUGAUUCUGUGGAUUCAUUAAUGCUUCACUAUUGAAAUAACUUAGUGUGACGUUGAUGUAGUUAAUUAAAUUGAAUGGAUAAUAUGUUACUUGAGCUUAAAUGUAGAUAUUAUGUAUUAGCUAACCGGGUUAAUGGGAUGUGGAAUGCUGGACUGAAGAUGGAUAAGAAAUUGGACCUCAAGAUCUUCCUAGUUUUAUUUAAUAUCACUAAUAGUAUGUUUAGGCCGAUUAUAUUUGAGUUGGC